UACGUAGGGGGCAAGCGUUGUCCGGAUUUAUUGGGCGUAAAGAGCGUGUAGGCGGCCAGGUAGGUCCGGUGUGAAAAACUCGAGGCUUAACCUCGAGAUGUCAUCGGAAAACCAUUCGGCUAGAGUCCGGAAGAGGAGAGUGGAAUUCCUGGUGUAGCGGUGAAAAUGCGCAGAUAUCAGGAAGAACACCUAUGGCGAAAAGCAGCUCUCUGGG
rnacentral:rRNA from 1 species